rnacentral:tRNA from 1 species
AAAUAAUACCAAAUGUGGUGUCUCUCCAAAACCAGACCAGCUCGGGUACCCUGGCUUCUCUUUCUUGCUUGCGAAAUGUGAAUUUACUUUUUGUGUUAAAUUUCUUGAGGCACUAUUAAAGCUGUGUACAGUGUAAAAUAGCAUAGUAAGUGCACCAGGAGGGAUUGUGCCUUUAACAUAUAUCUCAUUUUUUAUAGGAUUAUGUUCGUCGUAAACUGAAAGAAUCGAAUGCUUAUGAGAGUAAUCUAGCAUACGUUUGAUGAAAGGUAACUUUGUGUACUAACAUUAUAUUUAUGAAACACCACAAUGACCACAUUCAUACAAGUUAACUUGUUGCUUGUGAUGUUACUCUGAGUGUAUAUCCACACCAGGCAAGCUUGAAAAAUAUGCCUGACCACGGUGGGAAUCGAACCUACGACCUUUGGAAUGCUAGCCCAAUGCUCUGCCAACUGAGCUACGCGGUCUGGUCGGUUCGAGUAUGCGAUAUUUCGGAACAGAAUCUAGUUCCUUCGAUAUCAAUGUAAUCUAGUAAUAAUGAUAUUUUCUGUGUUGGUGCAAGCCAACAAGUACAACCGCGUAGCUCAGUUGGCAGAGCAUUGGGCUAGCAUUCCAAAGGUCGUAGGUUCGAUUCCCACUGUGGUCAGGCAUAUUUUUCAAGCUUGCCCGGUGUGGAUAUACACUCAGAGUAACAUCACAAGCAUCUUAUUCACCUGAGUACAUUGCACCAACACAGAAAAUAUCAAGUUAACUUGUAUUUGCAGGCCAGCUAGGCCCGUAGCUAGACUGAUCAUUGGGGGUGUAUAUUCAUAUAUUCGUGUUCUGCCUGAGGGAUUUCUUUUGAAAGUAAUUGUUAACGUUGUUACACUACAUGAACAUGAAUAUAUGAAUAUACACCCCCCCCCACCCCUAGCUACGCCGCUGUUGCAGGCAUACACUUAUGAAACAUUAGUCAUCUUAUACAGCUGUACUAAAUAUUCUGUUUUAAUUUUAGUGUUGACUCUCAACACAACAUCAUGCUGUGUUCCAAGGUUCCCAAGGAACUGGCUCAUGAGUAUGGAGGGCCACAACUGUUUUAAUAAAAGGUAUGGUGUACACAGUAUUUAUGGUAUUUGUAAUUGUCUUGCCCAAGGCCAAAAAAAAUAUGUGGGUUUCCGGUUUCUUCUUAUAAAAACUUAGGUAGGGUAGGUCGGUUUUAAUUUUUUUUAAACUUUUUUUUAAAUUUUCCAAACAAAUGAACGCCAUUUUGUUUAGUCAGUGCUUUCACAUCCAAAUUAGAUAAAUUUCCCUAAUAUUGCCUCAAAUUUCAAUUUUCCACGAACUUUUUCCUCUAAGUGGAAACACUUACAAGCAUGAUCCAAUAAAAAAGUUUAGGGUCGGGAUUUCGACGUCCAAAAGGUAGGUAGGGUCGGGAAACCGGAAACCCACAUAUAUUUUUUUUGGCCCAAUAGAUAUAUUUUAAAACCUUAUACCGGUAACUCCUGUGGUAUCUGGAUUCUGGUAAUCACUUUACCAUACUUUACUCUGUCAAUUUUUCAAUAUUAAUUACCAGGCGAUAUAUGUUGGGUCACAAAACUCCCAACACGGCAACGUCUAUAGAGUGGUAUCACUUUAGUUUUGCUCACACCAGAGAAUCGUCCUAUAUAUGACUAAAGCUAGACAAUUGUACUGUACUUGUACAUAGCACAUGUCUCAAAAUUUGAUUUAAUUAAAGACUUUUGAGCAUAGUAUAGAAAGAGUAUAAUAUGCAGCUAAUUCUUAUGAUGUUGUCACAAGCAAUGCUGUAUUGCAGUAGUCAAAUGUCACAUGCCAGCAAUAUUAUCUGCAUUUGCUUGCAUUUUGUCAAAAAUAUUUGCGUUUUGGAUUGUAGAAUUGACUAUUCCAUGUGACAACCUUUGCAUGUGCACUGUAUUUAAAGAAUGGUCCUUAAAAUGAUUUUUUCUGUGUUGGUGUUAUGUACUCAGGUGAAUAUGAUGUUUGUGCAAUGAUACUCUGAGUGUAUAACCACACCGGGGAAGUUUGAAAAAUAGACCUGGCCAGGGUGGGAAUCAAAGCUACGACCUUGGAAUGCCCAAUGCUUUGCCAACUGAGCUAUCAUGAUUACUAGAUUGCAUUGAUAUCAAAAGAACUAGACUCAGUUCUGAAAUAUCACAUACUCGAACCAACUUGACUGCGUAGCUCAGUUGGCAGAGCAUUGGGCUAGUAUUCCAAGGGUCAUCUAGCUUCGAUUCCAACCGAGGCCGGGCAUAUUUUUCAAGCUUACCCGGUGUGGAUAUACACUCAGAGUGACAUCACAAGCAUCAUAUUCACCUGAAUACAUUACACCAACACAGAAAAAAUCAUGAUUAUUAGAUUGCAUUGUUAUCGAAGUAACUAGGCUCAUUUCCGAAAAUCACAUAGUAUUACUCAAACCGACCUGACUGCGUAGCUCAGUUGGCAGAGCAUUGGGCUAGUAUUCCAAGGGUCAUAGGUUCGAUUCCCACCGUGGCCAGGCAUAUUUUUUUCAAGCUUGCUUGGUGUGGAUAUACACUCAGAGUAACAUCACAAACAUCAUGGUCUUUAAAAUGUUUAUGCGGUUUUUACAUAUGAUUUCGUACAAGUUCUCGUGAACAUCCAGAACAAAUUAUUUUGCGCGUUUAAUUUAAAUUUUCCACCAACAUUAACACACAGCAAGGGAUUAAAGACUUUGAAGAUCUGUUAACAGCUUUAGCAUUAAUUUACACAGUAUAACCAAUUUUUUAAGAUUGAAUUUUUAUUAUUUUAUAAAGGACGAGGUUUGAACUUAUAACACUGCAUUUAAUUUUGAUAGGCAUUAAUUUAGCUUUGUAUUUCAACGGGGUUGCUCAAUCUAAAACAUCCGUCUUUGGGUGUUUGUGACAUUUGUGACACUCUAUUUGAAAGUUACCUUUUGCUUUGUCUCCCCAUUUUUAUGCUCAUUGCUUGUAAUGCCUCGAUAACCUCGUGGAUGAAUCUGUAAGGCUUCCAAAGUCGGAUUUCUUGCUGAGCAAAGUUGUGGCAUGCAUAAGCAGUCUACCUAACACCCCCCCCCCCAAAUUACUUACUGUAUGUCGCCUGCGACGAAAAGUAUGUAAAAUGAUUAUGAAGAAGAAUUUAAAGAACUUUCAGAGUCUGAACAACGCGCAUACGGUGGAAGGAAAAGUCAUCCAGGCAAUGUCAUCCAAUCAUCAAAUCAACAUUUGAUACAAAAUUGUACUGUGUGAACUCAAUAGUCAACAUUUGUACUAUAAGUUUUCCAAGAACUUGUAGUAGUGUCAAGCUUAUUUGUUAUUAUUUUGUAUCUUUCUUUAGAGACUUGCACGCAGGCUGAAGCACGUGGGAAAGGCAAAUUGGGGUGCCCAGAAAACUGCAAGAGUGUUCGAUGUUAUGAGGGCAGGCUACUGUACAUGUCAUCAGAAGAAAGCGAGGUCGACGAAACAACAAAAAGGAUCAUGCGUUACAACGUUCGUAGGCUACCCUGGGAGAGUCCAUCUCUAUACGAAGGGAAAAGAAAAAGUUAGACAGGCUCCACACCUUGUCUUUGUCAGAACUGGUACGGAGCAGAAUUGAUCCUCGCGAGGAUGGACAGCCCUCCAUUCGACCUAAGCCAAACGACUUCCCGGAGUGGGCAGCUAAGAACGAGGAUGAUAAUGUUGUUGAUGAGAGUGCCCAGUCAUUAUCCCUAGUGGCUCUUCGCUGAAUGACUCUGUUAAUGACAUUUUAAAUGAUCAUGACUCUGAUUGCUAUAGUUUUUCAGUAUAGUAAAGACCCACGAUAUAUCACCCAAAGUUUUCCA